CCAGACUCCUACGGGAGGCAGCAGUGGGGAAUAUUGGACAAUGGGGGGAACCCUGAUCCAGCGACGCCGCGUGAGUGAAGAAGUAUUUCGGUAUGUAAAGCUCUAUCAGCAGGGAAGAAAGAAAUGACGGUACCUGACUAAGAAGCCCCGGCUAACUACGUGCCAGCAGCCGCGGUAAUACGUAGGGGGCAAGCGUUAUCCGGAUUCACUGGGUGUAAAGGGAGCGUAGACGGCGACGCAAGUCUGGAGUGAAAGCCCGGGGCCCAACCCCGGGACUGCUCUGGAAACUGCGUCGCUGGAGUACGGGAGGGGCAGGCGGAAUUCCUGGUGUAGCGGUGAAAUGCGUAGAUAUCAGGAGGAACACCGGCGGCGAAGGCGGCCUGCUGGACCGCGACUGACGUUGAGGCUCGAAAGCGUGGGGAGCGAACAGGAUUAGAUACCCCAGUA
rnacentral:rRNA from 1 species